UGACACUGAAAUUGGAUUCUCUUCCUCAUAAUAAGACAUUAGAGCCACUUUUCCCCCAAUGCAAGCCACAAAGCCUAAAUAUAUUAUUCUAAUUUUCCCCCAUCUUUCAUUGCCUGGGAGCUGAACAUAAUGAACUUACCUAACCUACCUUGUCUGAUGGUGGAUCAAAAGAUUUUUCAUAACAUUCAUAACAUUUUUCAUAACAUUUCACCUAGUUAAGAAGGACUUGCUCCUCAACAAGGAGGAAAGACUGUCACCCAGCAAGGUCAAGAAGAAUCUGGAGAAGUCUUGCUGGGUUUCCCCACAUAUUCUAUUAUCAUUAAAUUAUGUCCAAUCAUAUGUCUACAUGGCUGUCCACACUUUAUCAAACAUAAGCACAUAAAUGAAUAGUUUGCCUUGAGUUUUGGGUCUUCAUGCUAAAAACUUAUAUGUCAUGU
rnacentral:lncRNA from 1 species